GGGUCUGGGCGCGGCCUCAGGACGUGGGCACGUUGUCGUCCAGAGAGCAAGAGCGUCGCUCCCCCUCGCCUUCUCGGCCGCCCUCCGGCCUUACCGCCCCCUGUGUCCAGAGAUCUCCAGAUGGAGAGACAUUUUGCCACACGAUGAAUCACACACCACACCUCAUCCCCGAGCUUCAGCUGCAGGACAAUGCCGCCAGAGGCCUGGUCCUCAGAGCUCAUGUAAGCGUCUUUGGUGUGCAGUAUUUUUACUCCAUUUUUGACCAAAGACACCUGAACAUUCCUGGAGAAAACAGUGAUGUGGAUCUUAUCAAAUUUAAUGGGCACAUCUGAAGAAGGAAACUUGCUCAGCACCGUGAGCCCCACAGUGAAAGCACUUUUUGGCAAGACUAGAGUCUCACCGAUUUUCCCUUUCUCUCCUCGAUCUCCUUUCCAGCCUCUUAUUCCCCGGACUCCUGGCUCACCCUGGAGCCCCAUGGGUCCAGCUUCUCCCUUGGGACCAGGCUUUCCAAUAGGGCCCAUGGGGCCCGGUAAACCAGUUGGGCCCAAAGGCCCAAUGUUGCCCCUUGGCCCCUCAGGACCAGUAGGACCCACGUCACCCUUAUUCCCCUUCUGCCCCUGAGGCCCAGUCUCUCCUCGGAGGCCUUUCUCUCCCAUGGGCCCUGCAAGCCCCUUGGGGCCAUGUUUUCCUGGAGAUCCUCUUGAGCCUGGAUCACCUUUGAUGCCUUUUGCUUCAACUUUUCCAUCUGCUCCUAAAUAGAGAAAGAGCAAAUAAAGAGAUAGUUUGUGAAAGA